rnacentral:rRNA from 1 species
AAACUCAAAGGAAUUGACGGGGGCCCGCACAAGCAGCGGAGCAUGUGGCUUAAUUCGACGCAACGCGAAGAACCUUACCAAGGCUUGACAUACACCGGAAACGGCCAGAGAUGGUCGCCCCCUUGUGGUCGGUGUACAGGUGGUGCAUGGCUGUCGUCAGCUCGUGUCGUGAGAUGUUGGGUUAAGUCCCGCAACGAGCGCAACCCNUUGUCCCGUGUUGCCAGCAAGCCCUUCGGGGUGUUGGGGACUCACGGGAGACCGCCGGGGUCAACUCGGAGGAAGGUGGGGACGACGUCAAGUCAUCAUGCCCCUUAUGUCUUGGGCUGCACACGUGCUACAAUGGCCGGUACAAUGAGCUGCGAUACCGUGAGGUGGAGCGAAUCUCAAAAAGCCGGUCUCAGUUCGGAUUGGGGUCUGCAACUCGACCCCAUGAAGUCGGAGUUGCUAGUAAUCGCAGAUCAGCAUUGCUGCGGUGAAUACGUUCCCGGGCCUUGUACACACCGCCCGUCACGUCACGAAAGUCGGUAACACCCGAAGCCGGUGGCCCAACCCCUUGUGGGAGGGAGCUGUCGAAGGUGGGACCAGCGAUUGGGACGAAGUCGUACCCACAACCACCAACCCGGAACNCCC